UACGUAGGGUGCAAGCGUUAAUCGGAAUUACUGGGCGUAAAGCGUGCGCAGGCGGCUUUGCAAGACAGAUGUGAAAUCCCCGGGCUUAACCUGGGAACUGCAUUUGUGACUGCAUGGCUGGAGUGCGGCAGAGGGGGAUGGAAUUCCGCGUGUAGCAGUGAAAUGCGUAGAUAUGCGGAGGAACACCGAUGGCGAAGGCAAUCCCCUGGGCCUGCACUGACGCUCAUGCACGAAAGCGUGGGGAGCAAACAGA
rnacentral:rRNA from 1 species